UGAGGAACAUGACUUUCGGCGGGGGAUAGCCGGCCCAACGGCCGGGUAAUACCGCGUACGACCUCUCGGGGACAUCCCUGAGUGGUGAAAGCAGCAAUGCGCCGAUGGAGUGCCUCGCGGCCUAUCAGCUAGUUGGUGAGGUAACGGCUCACCAAGGCGACGACGGGUANCUGGUCUGAGAGGAUGGCCAGCCACAGUUGGGACUGAGACACCGGCCCAGACCUCCGUAGGGACGG
rnacentral:rRNA from 1 species